UACAGAGGGGGCAAGCGUUGUUCGGAAUUACUGGGCGUAAAGGGCGCGUAGGCGGCCUGCUAAGUCGAACGUGAAAUCCCUGGGCUCAACCCAGGAACUGCGUCCGAUACUGGUUGGCUUGAAUCCGGGAGAGGGACGUGGAAUUCCAGGUGUAGCGGUGAAAUGCGUAGAUAUCUGGAAGAACACCGGUGGCGAAGGCGGCCUUCUGGACGAUGACUGACGCUGAGACGCGAAAGCGUGGGGAGCAAACAGG
rnacentral:rRNA from 1 species